rnacentral:rRNA from 1 species
CACGUAGGGGGCAAGCGUUGUCCGGAUUUAUUGGGCGUAAAGAGCUCGUAGGUGGUUCGGUAAGUCAGGUGUGAAACCUCCAGGCUCAACCUGGAGACGCCACUUGAUACUGCUGUGACUGGAGUCCGGUAGGGGAGCGUGGAAUUCCUGGUGUAGCGGUGAAAUGCGCAGAUAUCAGGAGGAACACCGGUGGCGAAGGCGGAUCUCUGGGCCUUACCUGACGCUCAGGCGCGAAAGCUAGGGGAGCGAACAGG